AAUAGAUACCCGGGUAGUCCACGCCGUAAACGAUGAGUGCUAGGUGUCGGGGGUUUCGAUACCCGCGGUGCCGAAGUUAACACAUUAAGCACUCCGCCUGGGGAGUACGGUCGCAAGACUGAAACUCAAAGGAAUUGACGGGGACCCGCACAAGCAGUGGAGUAUGUGGUUUAAUUCGAAGCAACGCGAAGAACCUUACCAGGUCUUGACAUCCCCCUGACCGGUCUAGAGAUAGGCCUUCCCUUCGGGGCAGGGGAGACAGGUGGUGCAUGGUUGUCGUCAGCUCGUGUCGUGAGAUGUUGGGUUAAGUCCCGCAACGAGCGCAACCCUUGAUCUUAGUUGCCAGCACUUUGGGUGGGCACUCUAAGAUGACUGCCGGUGACAAACCGGAGGAAGGCGGGGAUGACGUCAAAUCAUCAUGCCCCUUAUGACCUGGGCUACACACGUACUACAAUGGCCGGUACAAAGGGCUGCGAAGCCGCGAGGCGGAGCCAAUCCCAGCAAAGCCGGUCUCAGUUCGGAUUGCAGGCUGCAACUCG
rnacentral:rRNA from 1 species